UUUUUUUAUGGUUUUAAACCGGGCACAUACGGCGAGUGAAGCGGCAAAAGCUCAAAUUUGAAAUCUGGUACCUUCGGUGCCCCAGUUGUAAUUUGGAGAGGGCAACUUUGGGGCCGUUCCUUGUCUAUGUUCCUUGGAACAGGACGUCAUAGAGGGUGAGAAUCCCGUGUGGCGAGGAGUGCGGUUCUUUGUAAAGUGCCUUCGAAGAGUCGAGUUGUUUGGGAAUGCAGCUCUAAGUGGGUGGUAAAUUCCAUCUAAAGCUAAAUAUUGGCGAGAGACCGAUAGCGAACAAGUACAGUGAUGGAAAGAUGAAAAGAACUUUGAAAAGAGAGUGAAAAAGUACGUGAAAUUGUUGAAAGGGAAGGGCAUUUGAUCAGACAUGGUGUUUUGUGCCCUCUGCUCCUUGUGGGUAGGGGAAUCUCGCAUUUCACUGGGCCAGCAUCAGUUUUGGUGGCAGGAUAAAUCCAUAGGAAUGUAGCUUGCCUCGGUAAGUAUUAUAGCCUGUGGGAAUACUGCCAGCUGGGACUGAGGACUGCGACGUAAGUCAAGGAUGCUGGCAUAAUGGUUAUAUGCCGCCCGUCUUGAAACCACGGACCA
rnacentral:rRNA from 1 species